AGUGAACGCUGGCGGUAGGUCUAACACAUGCAAGUCGAACGGCAGCACAGUAAGAGCUUGCUCUUACGGGUGGCGAGUGGCGGACGGGUGAGGAAUACAUCGGAAUCUACUUUUUCGUGGGGGAUAACGUAGGGAAACUUACGCUAAUACCGCAUACGACCUACGGGUGAAAGCAGGGGAUCUUCGGACCUUGCGCGAUUGAAUGAGCCGAUGUCGGAUUAGCUAGUUGGCGGGGUAAAGGCCCACCAAGGCGACGAUCCGUAGCUGGUCUGAGUGGAUGAUCAGCCACACUGGAACUGUGACGCGGUCCAGACUCUUACGGGAGGCAGCAGUGGGGAAUAUUGGACAAUGGGCGCAAGCCUGAUCCAGCCAUACCGCGUGGGUGAAGAAGGCCGUCGGGUUGUAAAGCCCUUUUGUUGGGAAAGAAAAGCAGCAGGUUAAUACCCCGCUGUUCUGUCGGUACCCAAAGAAUAAGCACCGGCUAACUUCGUG
rnacentral:rRNA from 1 species